rnacentral:rRNA from 1 species
UACGAAGGGUGCAAGCGUUACUCGGAAUUACUGGGCGUAAAGCGUGCGUAGGUGGUGGGUUAAGUCUGUCGUGAAAUCCCCGGGCUUAACCUGGGAAUGGCAUUUGGGACUGCAAGGCUUGAGUGCGGCAGAGGAGACUGGAAUUCCUGGUGUAGCAGUGAAAUGCGUAGAUAUCAGGAGGAACACCGAUGGCGAAGGCAGGUCUCUGGGCUGACACUGACGCUCAUGCACGAAAGCGUGGGGAGCAAACAGG